rnacentral:rRNA from 1 species
ACCUAGAAAACAGGACCCAUGCCAACAGCACGUCCUUACUCCAUAGGCUGAUCUAAACUAAAGCCUAACAAAACCAAAAUUAAACCCGAAGUUAUACGGGCU